rnacentral:rRNA from 1 species
UGGGGAAUAUUGGACAAUGGGCGAAAGCCUGAUCCAGCCAUGCCGCGUGUGUGAAGAAGGUCUUCGGAUUGUAAAGCACUUUAAGUUGGGAGGAAGGGCAGUUACCUAAUACGUGAUUGUUUUGACGUUACCGACAGAAUAAGCACCGGCUAACUCUGUGCCAGCAGCCGCGGUAAUACAGAGGGUGCAAGCGUUAAUCGGAAUUACUGGGCGUAAAGCGCGCGUAGGUGGUUUGUUAAGUUGGAUGUGAAAUCCCCGGGCUCAACCUGGGAACUGCAUCCAAAACUGGCAAGCUAGAGUACGGUAGAGGGUGGUGGAAUUUCCUGUGUAGCGGUGAAAUGCGUAGAUAUAGGAAGGAACACCAGUGGCGAAGGCGACCACCUGGACUGAUACUGACACUGAGGUGCGAAAGCGUGGGGAGCAAACAGGAUUAGAUACCCAAGUAGUCCCUGAGCGGGCUGGCAAGGCGCAU